CCUGGCCAGCAGAGUCCGCGCGCGUGCCUGCACCGGGGAUACCUACCCGCCACCCCAGUCAAGAGCAAAGCACACACCCCAGCGGUGCUGCCCUUCAGAAUCGUUCACAGCUUUGUGUAUUAACACAUCCAUCACUUGUGCCGGCUGCUGGGGUCACAGCUCUCAAGAGGCGGGCGGUAAAAACCACCCGGUUUAUGAUGGCAAGGUGGACCGAAGCAGUCCGAGUUUUGGACAUGGGAUGGGUGGAGAGUGGCGGGAGUAUACCCGAGUUUGGGAGGUGAGGUCUGGUCGUCAGGCAGGAGGAUAGGAAACCACCCGCGCCAAGCAGAGGAUGGACAGAGUCCUAAAGCCAAGAAAUAUUGCCGACGAUGAAGACUUUUCGUGAGUGAGGUCAAAGGUUACCAAACAUCUUCAUCCUCCUUCAAACACCGCACGAACCGGUGGUGAUGGUGAGGAAAGGGGGGUAGAUGGAGAGAGGAUGCGAACGGACGAGAAGGCUGUGGGGGUGUUACAGUCGUGUGGGAGGGGAGAAGUGGGAGUAUGAGGGUCACCCAGGGUGCAGGAUGGUGUUGUCAUCGCAAGAGAUAAGGACUUUACUGUCAUGGGGCACACGUGUACACCUCGGCCAAACCAGGCAAAACUCAGCUGUCAGCUACACAGGAACCACUGUUGGGGUGUACGAGCUGGGGUGGUUGGUUCAGAAUAAUUCGGGUAAGAGAACUCAAACUGAAAGUUUAACUCCAGGUUAACCAAUGCCCAACAGUGACAUCUGAGGUCAACCUUCUCCGUGAGACAUUCAGUGUUUCGCACAAAAUCCUUGAGAAACUUGCUCGUGGCCAGAAGAAAUAUUGAAACAAAUAACAGGCACAUUCCAUAAGAGGAAACAGUCACUGGAGAUGUGAUCAUACAUAUGACUUCCAGCAGAAAGUUGUGGUUCUCAUGCUGACAUCACUAAAGGCAGCACACGACUGGACAGCGCUGUUGGCACCAAUGGCCAAGUGAUUCUUGUCCAGGACACGAUGGGACUACCCAGAAGUUAGGUGGGACAGACAUGUGGGAAGAUGAGAAAGACAAUAAAGGACACUGAGGGACAAAAGAAAGUGUCUCCGUGAAGACAAUCCGGUCUCCGUGUUAACAUUCUUAACAUACAAAACUUUUAAGACAACAGUGUCAUCAUGUCACGGCAUUCCUAUAAGGUAAGAAAAAUCCUAAAAAAAGAAGACAGGAAACCUGCACACCUCUGAAAAUAAAACCCAUACCUAGAACCCUUAAA